rnacentral:rRNA from 1 species
UACGUAGGGACCUAGCGUUGUCCGGAAUCAUUGGGCGUAAAGCGCGCGUAGGCGGCCCGGUAAGUCCGUUGUAAAAGUCGGAGGCUCAACCUCCGAAAGCCGAUGGAUACUGCCGGGCUAGAGUACGGAAGAGGCGAGUAGAAUUCCUGGUGUAGCGGUGGAAUGCGCAGAUAUCAGGAGGAAUACCCAUAGCGAAGGCAGCUCGCUGGGACGUUACUGACGCUGAGGCGCGAAAGCGUGGGGAGCGAACAGG